GCCGGGCGUGGUGGCGCACGCCUGUGGUCCCAGCUACUUGGGAAGCUGAGGUGGGAGGAUCACUUGAGCCCAGAGAGAUCUAGGCUGCAGUGAGCCAUAAUUGCACCACUGCACUCCAACCUGGGUAACAGAGUGAGACCCUGUCUCAA
ensembl:misc_RNA Metazoa_SRP Metazoan signal recognition particle RNA